GACGAACGCUGGCGGCGUGCCUAACACAUGCAAGUCGAACGCAGUUGCGAACGGGUGAGUAACGCGUAGGUGACUGCCUCACAGUGGGGGAAAACCAUGGGAAACGGUAGCUAAUACCGCAUAUUAUCAGGUGGACCUGCGUUGUAUUUGCUAGUUAGUGGGCUAAAGGCCCACCAAGGCGACGAUAGAUAGCCGUCCUGUGAGGGUGUACGGCCACACUGGGACUGAGACACGGCCCAGACUCCUACGGGAGGCAGCAGUAGGGAAUCUUCGGCAAUGGGCGGAAGUCUGACCGAGCAACGCCGCGGGAGUGAAGAAGGUUUUCGGAUCGUAAAGCUCUGUUGUUAGGGAAGCGGUAACUAACCAGAAAGGGACGGCUAACUACGUGCCAGCAGCCGCGGUAAUAC
rnacentral:rRNA from 1 species